AGCGGCUGCCGGGAGCGGACGUCAAAUCCGUCUCUGCGUUUUGAGCUUUCCGUUUUGUACGUGAGCGUCUCCAGUCAACAGUCGCACACGCCCAGCGCCUGGGGGGUCUCAACGCACGUUAGCGUCGCCUCCCCUGCGCCUCCCACCGCGGUUUGACGUCUCGAGACCCAUCUUGCCUGGGACAGAAGCGCAGAGGAGGCAAGUCCAGGAGUCAAGAAUGACUCUUUCUCAGGUAAAGUCGUAUCUGGGUUCCUUGUUCUGUCCUCUGUGUCCUGCACUACCACUGGGCCAUGCUCAUCUCACUCUGAAGCGUCCCUCCUGACAUGCUUGCUCACGUUCACCCCAGGACCUUAUCUGAGCCCCUCUAUCUCCACGCAGAUUCCAGCUCAUACUUGAACUGUAUGUGUAUUUAAUGGAGAUUGAGUCGCUUGUUACUAUUUUUGAAUAUUUUUUUGCAAGAGGCUGCCUGAUUGACUCAGUAGGUAGAUCAAGUGAGUCUUGAUCUGGAGGUUCGAGCCAGACUUUGGGAGUGUGAUUACUUAGAUUUUUUUUUCUUCACAGUGUUGUUUUUGUAAGCAGGCUUAACAUUACAAUUUUAUUUACCUGUAAUGCAAUUCAUACGUGUUUAUUGUACCAGAAAUGCUGAAAUGCACAUGAGUAAAAAUGAUAUAGAGAAUGAAGAUUUACCUAUAAAAAGAUGUUACUUAAAGACCGUUAAUUUGACUUCGUUUUUUUUCAGUGUGUGUGUUGUAGGUGCACACGUGUGUGAGCAGGAGCCUGUGGUGUGUAUAAAACACCGUGUCAUUUCAGAAAUAAGUUUGAUAUUUAUUUCAACUUUGAAGGUAUGUCUGACAUGUUUUCCAUGGCCUUAAAUUUUUUUCUACACCAUCACCUAAAUGAGGUAACAGCAGUAUGAAUCCUGUGUGUGCACAUGUGCCUGUUGCAGACAAAUAUAUUUAUCUUUAUCCGGGUUUAAGUUUCAGCCAUUAACUUGUUUCAUAUUUUCUCCAUUAGGAAGCUCUCUGUCAACAGACUUUUACCGUGUGUCCAUUACAUUCCUGUGAGGCCCUGUGGGUUCCAUGCUAAAGCCUGACCACUUGUUUAGGGACAGGCUCUGCCAUUUAUUACCUGAUUGACUGAUGCAGGUUCCUUAGCGUGUGUGUGUGAGUUGGGUCCUGUGUAAGAUGGGAACCACUACUAAUUUAAUUGGAUGCUAUGUUCUUCUACAAGUAGGGUGAUGUGUACCAUAUGAGAAGUGUUUGAAACUUUGAAUAGAUUCUAUUGUCAUCAGCUUCUCAUUUUUUCCAGUUUCACUUUUCAUUGAUGCUAUUUGGACUUGGUCAUCCCUAAAGACACUACUCGUGCUCUAAGUCUUGGAGAAAUUGUUAUAUGGUGUAUACAACAUACUGUCUAGAACUUGCAUAUAGUCUACCAUUUGUUGACGUUUUUCAUUUUUGAAUUUUAUCUGGCACAAUAUUGUAAAAUUCUUCGUAGUUUAGCUGAUGGAAAUUCUCUGAUGGAAAGUGUAACAAAGCAAAAUCAGGGACUUAUGACUUGCUCAAAAUGAUGUGUCUUAUCCAAUUACUCAUUUAUAAUUAACUCUUAUACCUCUCUGCUCCUCUCAUUUUUCUGAAAGAAGUACUCUCCUGAUGGCCUCUUGGUGAAAUGUGCUUUCAUUUCAGGAACUGUUGACAUUCAGGGAUGUGGCCAUAGAGUUCUCUCAGGAGGAGCGGGAGUGCCUGGACCCCGCUCAGAGGGCCUGGUACAGGGACGUGAUGUUGGAGAACUACAGGACCCUGGUCUCCCUGGCUGUCCAGGAACUGGGAUUGGUU